GAGUCAGUGCGGAGCCCCGUGAGGCGCGGGGAGAAGAGGCAGCGGGCGGAGGGGAGCAGCGGGUGGUCCGAGGCGGCGCAGCCCAGGGUGGGCGCCUGGUAGGUCCUGCCGCGCGAGCAUGGGGCAGCUGCUGUGGCUGCGGGGCCAGGAAGAGAGCGCAGCCUCCACAGAGCCAUUCCGGACCGCUGCCUCCGCCGGCUCCACAGCCCACGCGCGCACUCGCUGCAGCCCCAACCUAGGGCGUCUGCUCUGGGCGGGCCGGGAGCGGUGUUUGCUCCCCGGCUUAGUGCCGCCCGCCCUGAUUUGGAGCGAUUGCACUGGCUUGGGUACAUCCCAGCUCAUAGAUUCAGCUACAGUUGGCAAUCAUCCGCAAAGACUCCAGCCUAAGACCUUUAGACCCCCGUAAAAUGUGACAUUUGAAGCAAAAAUAUCAUCCACGUUUUAUCCUAGACCCACGUUCUCUGGCUCUUGUCGACGGCGCAAGCUAACGCAAACACACAUGGUCGGACGCAUGCACAGCACGCCUAGAAGCGGAUCAAGAAGUAAUUAUAGAACAAGCUUUCCAGCGCCUCACUCAGUCACACCUCCUUCAAGAGCUGUGAAAUGGAAAGAAAACAGUUACUCCAGCUGCGACGUCUGAAGGGGCCCCGCACUUCGUCCCUGGUCAUAAGACACCGCAAGAGUUUAGUUAAGUGGCUUGAUACCAAGGAAGAGGUGGGCCCUGCACUCCUAAAAUCCCAAGCUCCGGCCCCUUACAGUCUCAUCUGAGAAACACAUCUUCAACGGCAGGCCAAAUUCCUCCUGCGAGCAACAUUCUGUAGCUGCAGCUGAUGGCAAGAUGUCACCAGCGGCUGAUGGCAAAAUGUCACCAGAGUC
rnacentral:lncRNA from 1 species